CCUACGGGUGGCAGCAGUGGGGGAUAUUGCACAAUGGGGGAAACCCUGAUGCAGCGACGCCGCGUGGGCGAAGAAGUAUUUCGGUAUGUAAAGCCCUAUCAGCAGGGAAGAAGAAAUGACGGUACCUGAGUAAGAAGCACCGGCUAAAUACGUGCCAGCAGCCGCGGUAAUACGUAUGGUUCAAGCGUUAUCCGGAUUUACUGGGUUUAAAGGGAGCGUAGACGGCAGCGCAAGUCCGAAGUGAAAGCCCGGGGCCCAACCCCGGGACUGCUUUGGAAACUGUGAAGCUGGAGUGCGGGAGGGGCAGGCGGAAUUCGUGGUGUAGCGGUGAAAUGCGUAGAUAUCAGGAGGAACACCGGCGGCGAAGGCGGCCUGCUGGACCGUAACUGACGUUGAGGCUCGAAAGCGUGGGGAGCAAACAGGAUUAGAUACCCCGGUAGUC
rnacentral:rRNA from 1 species